rnacentral:rRNA from 1 species
GACGAACGCUGGCGGCGUGCUUAACACAUGCAAGUCGAACGGAAAGGCCCUGCUUUUGUGGGGUGCUCGAGUGGCGAACGGGUGAGUAACACGUGAGUAACCUGCCCUUGACUUUGGGAUAACUUCAGGAAACUGGGGCUAAUACCGGAUAGGAGCUCCUGCUGCAUGGUGGGGGUUGGAAAGUUUCGGCGGUUGGGGAUGGACUCGCGGCUUAUCAGCUUGUUGGUGGGGUAGUGGCUUACCAAGGCUUUGACGGGUAGCCGGCCUGAGAGGGUGACCGGCCACAUUGGGACUGAGAGAAGGCCCAGACCCCUACGGGAGGCAGCAGGUGGGAAUAAUGCACCAUGGGGGGAAGCCUGAUGCAGGAACGCCGCGUGCGGGAUGACGGCCUUCGGGGUGGAAACCGCUUUCGCCUGGGACGAAGCGUGAGUGACGGUAAUGGGUAAAGAAGCACCGGCUAACUUCGUG